rnacentral:lncRNA from 10 species
ACUAAUUAGCCUUUUUGCAGUGACAAUUCUAGUGGGCCAUAUGUCCUUCUGUCUGAGUGUCAACACAAGUCAUACUUAAUAUUUCAUCACACUAAUAUUGGCAACAGAAAGAGUUCUGGAAUAGAAUUAAUUCACAGGCCUGGAAAUAAUUUUUACCUUAACCCAUUCAACUAAACCUUCAACAAUGGCUCACCAAUAUGUACUGAAUGUAUAUUUUCUGCAGGACAUAGUGCUAAGUGUUGGUAAUAUGCAGAUAAGUGAGAGCUAGUCCAUCCAACUUAGGAGCUCUAAUGUGUCUAUUGUGGUGACAGACCAAAAAUAGAAACAAUUACUGUAGUGAGGAAAUGCCAAAAUAGAGGUAAAUAUGGAUACUAUGGGAGCAGUUGGGUCAGCCUAAAGUUCAGGGGAGGCUUUCUGGAGAUGACGAUGAGUAGUUGAAAGUGAGACUGCUUAACACAGACAGAGGAUAAGCUGACAACCAGUGAUUAUAAUUAGAGUGGCCUGUCAUAAUGCUCCAAGGAAAUGCAGAAGCCCACUGCCACGUGAUGCAGUAUGCCUAUGGAUUUCUGGAAAUUUUAUAUAAGAGGAAAUGGCUCUGGGGUGGUAUGAAAUAACAACACAUGGUCUAAGAUUUAGAGUCUAAGGGACUAAGCACCAUUAGACAUGUGGAAGCUCACUUUUAUAAGAAGUGCUGUGCAGCUCAAGGGGCUACGCAAAUCAGAACAAUAGAUAUACGUAGGGCAUUCAUCAUCUUGCCAUAUCCUUAUAUCCAUACUUAUCCCAGAAAAGACUGCAGGAGCCUGAGCAGAGCUUCAAUGUCCUUUGAAUAUUUGGAGAUCAAUAGCAUGUAUGACCAUGUCAUCUUCACAUCGGGAACAUGAUGAUGUGAAUGUGUGCAGACACUUAACCCACCACAGAAAAGCCAAGCACAGAGUGAAAAGGUCACUUGUGGGAAGGUGUGAGAUGUGUGGGGAAAGCCAAAUCACAGAAGAGUUACCCAUGAAGGGGCCAAGUCAAGCAAGAUUCAACAGGGGCCGUCUUGCCCGUUCAGGAAUUUUAUAAGCCCACACUCAAGGGUGCUAGUGGGACCCAGAGAUCCAAAAUUAUGGGUUAUUUAACUUGGCCUUCAGCAUGACUAGCUCUUUUGUGACUUGGCUGUUCUUGGGGAUGUCACACCUUGAUUCUAUUGGGCUUUACUGAAGAAUAUUUUUUUAGGUGCAUUUUAUGCUUUCAAUGGCACUGUCCUUUCUGUUUAGAGAAAAAAAUAAAGAAGAAUCAGCAGUAGGGGAUAUAUAUUUAUUUCAGCUCACUAUCUCAGGGAAAACUUUGCUUUGAAAAGAGUUGCACUACAAGAACACAGUCACAAUGGGACCUGCUAUUGUAAACAAAACAUCAUUUUUCUCUUACUGCAUUAAGCAGUAGACCCUGAUUAGAACUAGGUGACAUUAAGAUGGAAGUGAGAAGAUGGGAGAGUAACCCUUAGAUUUAAAUGAGCAUCUAUUUUUGGCUUUAGCACUCCUAAAUGCCCACCACAAAAAAAUCAGUGGUUUAAAGUCUAAGUUCUGUCAUCUGUCCAAGACAGCACAGAUUUCUUAUGCUUGGACAGGAUGGAGUGCUGCUGUGAUGAGAGGAGAUCAAGAAACUGGCCUGAAGACAAGAUUGAAAAAUCUGGAACAACGAGAAAUGAGCAGAGACUCCUGUAAGGCCUAAUGGCAGCAACUCUCCAGGAGUCUGGUCUUCUAACUCUGUUUUAUAGGUCAGGAGAUGACAGAAUGAAAUACAUUCUUAUUUGAUUUCCAUUGACUCCCCCUCUGGAAACCGAGAUUUUAUUGGCAUAUUUUGCUUCUAAAGAAGCUACAGUCUUUGGGAUAAAUUCAGUGGUUUUUCUGCCGUACCCUGGAAGGCAAAACACAGAGAAAGAGCCCUAGACCUAGCUUUUUUUAAAAAAAGUCCUGGAUUUUAGCCUUUGGUUCCAUUAUUUAUUAGCUAUAAGAUAGACUUCAAUACCUCAUAGACUAUUAAAGAUAAUGUUAAAAUAAUGCAAACAAAAACCCUAAUCUCAUUGAGGGCCCUAUAAUAGAUACUUGAUAAAUGCUAGUUGUGCUGGUGUUUGCCUAUCUAUCUUCUGGACAGAAAACAACAUGUCAGCCCAAGCUAUUUAAAGAAAGACAUGAUUAGAUGAGCAUGACUGCCUAUUCCAUUAAUGCCAGUCUGCAGAAACAUUGAACCAGUGAGAAUUUUGCUUAGGUCAGAUUGCAAUUGAUGAGAGCACCUUCCUGGUAAAGUGGGGCACUGAGGAAUGCUAUAUGGAUGUUUCACUGGGUCAUUCAUAAUGAUAAGCAUGGCAUGGAUGGGCUGAAAGAGUAGUAGAUUCAAGUCCCAGCUCUGCCACUAAUCACCAGUUAUGACAGCCUUCAGGACUUUCUGGGCUUCAGUUUCCUGUCUUUAAAAUGGAAGUGUCAAAAGAGAGGAUUUCUAAGUUCUUUGCCAUUGCUAAUGCUCCAUGAAAGAUAGCCGGGUCUUGUCCAUGAUUUUUGGUCAAUCUUUGGAGUAGAUUCUGUUUAAAGAAAUAAAUAAGAAAGAUGAGUAAUAAUAAGCUGACAAAUCUCAUUUGAAUAGAAAAUUAAACUAGAAAACUUGGGUACAUCAUCUCUGCC